rnacentral:rRNA from 1 species
GGGUGCUCGAGUGGCGAACGGGUGAGUAACACGUGAGUAACCUGCCCUUGACUUUGGGAUAACUUCAGGAAACUGGGGCUAAUACCGGAUAGGAGCUCCUGCUGCAUGGUGGGGGUUGGAAAGUUUCGGCGGUUGGGGAUGGACUCGCGGCUUAUCAGCUUGUUGGUGGGGUAGUGGCUUACCAAGGCGGCGACGGGUAGCCGGCCUGAGGGGGUGGACGGCCACAUUGGGACUGAGAUACGGCCCAG